GGAAUUGAAAAGCCUGGCCGUGUUCUAGCACCUGUUGGUUGUUGGCAUUGAUUUGGGUGAUCUUUUCUGUAAGUGGGCAUUGCUUUCAUUUUUCACCAUUCCAUGUAUGUCCUUCCUGAAGCUAUGCUCUAGAUGAGAGGAAAUAACUCUUUCAUAAGGGAGGAGCCUUUCCAAGUCACAAAUAUAUGGAGUAGCUGCCUUCUCCUGAGAGAGCCUCUGAACCAGCUCUUGAGAAGACCAUAAGGGCAAGGGAGAUGGGUCAAUGGUAAGAGUACUUUCUUAAUAAGCCUGAAGACAUGAGUUUGGAUCCACAGCACUGACAUGAAAUGCUAGGUGUAUCU
rnacentral:snRNA from 1 species